rnacentral:rRNA from 1 species
GGGGAAUCUUGGACAAUGGGGGCAACCCUGAUCCAGCGAUGCCGCGUGUGCGAUGAAGGCCUGCGGGUUGUAAAGCACUUUAGGUGGGGAAGAAAGUCAUGAUGUGAAUAGCAUUGUGAAUUGACGUUACCCACAGAAUAAGCACCGGCUAACUCUGUGCCAGCAGCCGCGGUAAUACAGAGGGUGCAAGCGUUAAUCGGAAUGACUGGGCGUAAAGGGCGCGUAGGCGGUUAAUUAAGUUAGAUGUGAAAUACCUGGGCUUAACCUGGGUGCUGCAUAUAAUACUGAUUAGCUAGAGUAGAGUAGAGGGAAGAGGAAUUUCCGGUGUAGCGGUGAAAUGCGUAGAUAUCGGAAAGAACAUCAGUGGCGAAGGCGUCUUCCUGGACUCAUACUGACGCUGAGGCGCGAAAGCGUGGGGAGCAAAC